UGAACGCUGGCGGCAGGCCUAACACAUGCAAGUCGAGCGGUAGCACAGAGAGCUUGCUCUCGGGUGACGAGCGGCGGACGGGUGAGUAAUGUCUGGGAAACUGCCUGAUGGAGGGGGAUAACUACUGGAAACGGUAGCUAAUACCGCAUAAUGUCGCAAGACCAAAGUGGGGGACCUUCGGGCCUCAUGCCAUCAGAUGUGCCCAGAUGGGAUUAGCUAGUAGGUGGGGUAACGGCUCACCUAGGCGACGAUCCCUAGCUGGUCUGAGAGGAUGACCAGCCACACUGGAACUGAGACACGGUCCAGACUCCUACGGGAGGCAGCAGUGGGGAAUAUUGCACAAUGGGCGCAAGCCUGAUGCAGCCAUGCCGCGUGUGUGAAGAAGGCCUUCGGGUUGUAAAGCACUUUCAGCGGGGAGGAAGGCGGUAAGGUUAAUAACCUCAUCGAUUGACGUUACCCGCAGAAGAAGCACCGGCUAACUCCGUGCCAGCAGCCGCGGUAAUACGGAGGGUGCAAGCGUUAAUCGGAAUUACUGGGCGUAAAGCGCACGCAGGCGGUCUGUCAAGUCGGAUGUGAAAUCCCCGGGCUCAACCUGGGAACUGCAUUCGAAACUGGCAGGCUAGAGUCUUGUAGAGGGGGGUAGAAUUCCAGGUGUAGCGGUGAAAUGCGUAGAGAUCUGGAGGAAUACCGGUGGCGAAGGCGGCCCCCUGGACAAAGACUGACGCUCAGGUGCGAAAGCGUGGGGAGCAAACAGGAUUAGAUACCCUGGUAGUCCACGCCGUAAACGAUGUCGAUUUGGAGGUUGUGCCCUUGAGGCGUGGCUUCCGGAGCUAACGCGUUAAAUCGACCGCCUGGGGAGUACGGCCGCAAGGUUAAAACUCAAAUGAAUUGACGGGGGCCCGCACAAGCGGUGGAGCAUGUGGUUUAAUUCGAUGCAACGCGAAGAACCUUACCUGGUCUUGACAUCCACAGAACUUUCCAGAGAUGGAUUGGUGCCUUCGGGAACUGUGAGACAGGUGCUGCAUGGCUGUCGUCAGCUCGUGUUGUGAAAUGUUGGGUUAAGUCCCGCAACGAGCGCAACCCUUAUCCUUUGUUGCCAGCGGUCCGGCCGGGAACUCAAAGGAGACUGCCAGUGAUAAACUGGAGGAAGGUGGGGAUGACGUCAAGUCAUCAUGGCCCUUACGACCAGGGCUACACACGUGCUACAAUGGCAUAUACAAAGAGAAGCGACCUCGCGAGAGCAAGCGGACCUCAUAAAGUAUGUCGUAGUCCGGAUUGGAGUCUGCAACUCGACUCCAUGAAGUCGGAAUCGCUAGUAAUCGUAGAUCAGAAUGCUACGGUGAAUACGUUCCCGGGCCUUGUACACACCGCCCGUCACACCAUGGGAGUGGGUUGCAAAAGAAGUAGGUAGCUUAACCUUCGGGAGGGCGCUUACCACUUUGUGAUUCAUGACUGGGGUGAAGUCGUAACAAGGUAACCGUAGGGGAACCUGCGGCUGGAUCACC
rnacentral:rRNA from 1 species